CCUACGGGUGGCAGCAGUGAGGAAUAUUGGUCAAUGGUCGGGAGACUGAACCAGCCAAGCCGCGUGAGGGAUGAAGGUACAGAGUAUCGUAAACCUCUUUGUCAGGGAACAAAGGCGGGGACGUGUCCCCGGAUGAGUGUACCUGAAGAAAAAGCAUCGGCUAACUCCGGGCCAGCAGCCGCGGUAAUACGGGGGAUGCGAGCGUUAUCCGGCUUUAUUGGGGUUAAAGGGUGCGCAGGCCGUCUGUUAAGUCAGCGGUCAAAGCCCGGGGAUAAACCCCGGCCCGCCGUUGAAACGGGCAGGCUCGAGUUGGAGAGAAGUAUGCGGAAUGCGCGGUGUAGCGGUGAAAUGCAUAUAUAUCGCGCAGAACUCCGAUUGCGAAGGCAGCAUGCCGGCUCCACACUGACGCUGAGGCACGAAAGCGUGGGUAUCGAACAGGAUUAGAUACCGGUAGUC
rnacentral:rRNA from 1 species